rnacentral:rRNA from 1 species
AUUGAACGCUGGCGGCAGGCCUAACACAUGCAAGUCGAGCGGAUGAAGGGAGCUUGCUCCUGGAUUCAGCGGCGGACGGGUGAGUAAUGCCUAGGAAUCUGCCUGGUAGUGGGGGAUAACGUCCGGAAACGGGCGCUAAUACCGCAUACGUCCUGAGGGAGAAAGUGGGGGAUCUUCGGACCUCACGCUAUCAGAUGAGCCUAGGUCGGAUUAGCUAGUUGGUGGGGUAAAGGCCUACCAAGGCGACGAUCCGUAACUGGUCUGAGAGGAUGAUCAGUCACACUGGAACUGAGACACGGUCCGGACUCCUACGGGAGGCAGCAGUGGGGAAUAUUGGACAAUGGGCGAAAGCCUGAUCCAGCCAUGCCGCGUGUGUGAAGACGGUCUUCGGAUUGUAAAGCACUUUAAGUUGGGAGGAAGGGCAGUAAGUUAAUACCUUGCUGUUUUGACGUUACCAACAGAAUAAGCACCGGCUAACUUCGUG